rnacentral:rRNA from 1 species
GACGAACGCUGGCGGCGUGCUUAACACAUGCAAGUCGAACGUGAUUUUUGUGGAAAUUCUUUCGGGAAUGGAAAUGAAAUGAAAGUGGCGAACGGGUGAGUAACACGUGAGCAACCUACCUUACACAGGGGGAUAGCCGUUGGAAACGACGAUUAAUACCGCAUGAGACCACAGAAUCGCAUGAUAUAGGGGUCAAAGAUUUAUCGGUGUAAGAAGGGCUCGCGUCUGAUUAGCUAGUUGGAAGGGUAAAGGCCUACCAAGGCGACGAUCAGUAGCCGGUCUGAGAGGAUGAACGGCCACAUUGGAACUGAGACACGGUCCAAACUCCUACGGGAGGCAGCAGUGGGGAAUAUUGCACAAUGGGGGGAACCCUGAUGCAGCGACGCCGCGUGAGCGAAGAAGGUUUUCGAAUCGUAAAGCUCUGUCCUAUGAGAAGAUAAUGACU